CUUCAGCAAGAGGGGUUGGGGCACAUUUGCUUCUCUGCUUAUUCCACAGCCUGUAUCAUGGUCCUUUGCCUACUCCCAGAUGCACAGGAUGGCCAGACUCGUCCUGAGCCCCUUGGUGUGUGGUGCUGGAUGUGACAGCUCCCACGGAGAUGGUUUUCCAAAGCUGAGGCAUGAGAAACCAAGGAGCAUCCAUUAGAAUAUUCCUUCUCUCAAGUUUUCAUGGCAAUUGAGAGGGCUGAGAUUAGAGAUAAAGGAAAGACGACAUCCCUUACUUCUUCUGAAUUUCUUCCUCUUUCCUCAUGACUAUUCUGCUGAAAACCACCUCUUCAAUACAAAGUAACACCUUCAAACCUGUCACUGAGAAAUAAAAAGCACAAAUAAAAUCAUGAAGAAGAAAAAGAAGAGUGGAGGGUAUGUACUGUCGGCCAUUACAGCUCACACAAAGCUACAAUGAUGAAGAAAUGAGGUAUAGCACCAAAUCGGACAAUCGAUGAAUCAGAAGUGGAUCUAAACUGACAUUGUCUCUUGAUUGAGAACAAAGAGAGAGAAAAGAUGGUCUGUUUAAUAAAUGCUGCUGUAUCAUUUGGAUAGGCAUAUGCCAAAGAAGAAAUCCUAAUUCCUAUCCAACACCAUAAGCAAAAAUCAGUUUUAGAUGGAAAUGUAAAGUUAAAAGGUAAAAAUAUUGAGAAUUUCAGAAAAACAACAUAUGCUAUCACAAAUAGCAUGAAACAUAAAAAGAAAAAAUGACAAUUUGGACUAUAAUAACUAAUUUUGUUUACCAGAACACCACUUAAGAGUGAAACAAUGUCAUAGAGUCGGGAAAAAUAUUUGUGAUACAUAUAGUUGAUAAUUCAUACAAAGAAAACAAAAGACUCUUAUAAAUCAAUGAAAAAGGUAUAAAUGCAUUGGAUUUUGCCUAUUCAGAUUUAAAAGACUUGAAUAUCAUGCCACAAGGGACAAUAUCCAAAUGACAAAUAAACAUAGUAAGAUGCCUGAAUUUGUUUGUCAUCUGGGCAAUGCACAUAAAUCACAAUGAAAGUUCAUCUAGCUGAACAAUACAAAUACACUUUUAUUUUAAAAAAUUUAUUAUAUUGUCUCUAUUACCAUUUAGUCCCCUUAUAUCCUCUUCCCCCCAUAACUACCACGCUGUUUUCCAUGUCCAUGAGUCCUUUUUCCUUUUUGGCUCCAUCCCUCCAUCAGCUAACCUCCUCCCUCUAGCUAUUCUGCUUU